GAUGAACGCUAGCGGCAGGCUUAACACAUGCAAGUCGAGGGGUAGAGGCUUUCGGGCCUUGAGACCGGCGCACGGGUGCGUAACGCGUAUGCAAUCUGCCUUGUACUGGGGGAUAGCCCAGAGAAAUUUGGAUUAAUACCCCAUAGUAUUUUCGGUUGGCAUCAACUGAUUAUUAAAGUUUUUCGGUACAAGAUGAGCAUGCGUCCCAUUAGCUAGUUGGUAUGGUAACGGCAUACCAAGGCUACGAUGGGUAGGGGUCCUGAGAGGGAGAUCACCCAGACUGGUACUGAGACACGGACCAGACUCCUAAGGGAGGCAGCAGUGAGGAAUAUUGGUCAAUGGUCGCAAGACUGAACCAGCCAUGCCGCGUGCAGGAUGAAGCAUCUAUGGUGUGUAAACCGCUUUUGUACGGGAAGAAACACUGCUACGUGUAGCAGCUUGACGGUACCGUAAGAAUAAGGAUCGGCUAACUCCGUGCCAGCAGCCGCCGUAAUAC
rnacentral:rRNA from 1 species